rnacentral:rRNA from 1 species
UACGGAGGGUGCGAGCGUUGUUCGGAAUCACUGGGCGUAAAGCGCGUGUAGGCGGCCCACUAAGUCUGAUGUGAAAGCCCGGGGCUCACCCCCGGAAGUGCAUUGGAAACUGGUGGACUCGAGUCCCGGAGAGGAGAGUGGAAUUCCUGGUGUAGCGGUGAAAUGCGUAGAUAUCAGGAGGAACACCGGUGGCGAAGGCGGCUCUCUGGACGGUGACUGACGCUGAGACGCGAAAGCUAGGGGAGCAAACGGG